rnacentral:sRNA from 1 species
GCCGGGCAUGGUGGUGCAUGCCUGUAAUCCCAGCUACUAGGGAGGCUGAGGCAGGAGAAUUGCUUGAACCCAGGAGGUGGAGGUUGUAGUGAGCUGAGAUGGCACCAUUGCACUCCAGCCUGGGAGACAGAGCAAGACUCUGUCUCAA